CAUACCGCCCCACGCUGCCACCCAAGGUCGUCGGCCUCCCCGCCAGCUUCCGCCCACAUCAUCGCCACUCGAAAACCGACGACCACCGUGUCGCUGCUGUUUCUGGCGAACCAGAAACCGGAUUUUCUUGUUUAUGGAAUCCGUUCGAGUAUUUGAUCAGGUUUAUAUGAAAAGGUGUUCUCGGACUUCGCGUGUUCAGAGUUACGGGCAUUCGGGGUUCGUUUUAAAGACUUGACUAUGGAUACUCAAUUCGUUGCUUCCAUGGUGUGGAUCUUAGAUUUUCGUCAUAAAGGUAUGAUGGCUGGAUGAGAACACAACACAACUACAACAACAGAAAGAGACAGAAUGACUAGACCUAGAAAAAGAAAGAACAUUGAAACUCACAUAGAGGGAGCAAAUCGAGGAAAAUAGGGUUGCAAGCGCCGAAAUGAAAGAAGCAGACUGAAAUGGAAGAGCAAUUUCAAUUCUUGUUGAACUACAUGCUAAUAAAAUUCUCAGCCAGUUACGAAUAUUAUCUUAUUUGGUAAACAUGGUAAAUUAUGAUAUUUGUUGUUUACAUAUGUUUGAAUAUUUUUCAUGGUACACGUAUUUGGAUACUUUGGUCCUAUUUUGUUUUGAUUGUUGGGAUAUUUUAUAAAUAUGUACAAUUGUGAAUUUCAUAAUUUGAUUUUGCUUAUUAAAA